UACGAAGGGGGCUAGCGUUGCUCGGAAUCACUGGGCGUAAAGGGUGCGUAGGCGGGUCUUUAAGUCAGGGGUGAAAUCCUGGAGCUCAACUCCAGAACUGCCUUUGAUACUGAGGAUCUUGAGUUCGGGAGAGGUGAGUGGAACUGCGAGUGUAGAGGUGAAAUUCGUAGAUAUUCGCAUGAACACCAGUGGCGAAGGCGGCUCACUGGCCCGAUACUGACGCUGAGGCACGAAAGCGUGGGGAGCAAACAGG
rnacentral:rRNA from 1 species